CUCAGAUUGAACGCUGGCGGCAGGCCUAACACAUGCAAGUCGAGCGGUAGCACAGAGAGCUUGCUCUCGGGUGACGAGCGGCGGACGGGUGAGUAAUGUCUGGGAAACUGCCUGAUGGAGGGGGAUAACUACUGGAAACGGUAGCUAAUACCGCAUAACGUCGCAAGACCAAAGUGGGGGACCUUCGGGCCUCAUGCCAUCAGAUGUGCCCAGAUGGGAUUAGCUGGUAGGUGGGGUAACGGCUCACCUAGGCGACGAUCCCUAGCUGGUCUGAGAGGAUGACCAGCCACACUGGAACUGAGACACGGUCCAGACUCCUACGGGAGGCAGCAGUGGGGAAUAUUGCACAAUGGGCGCAAGCCUGAUGCAGCCAUGCCGCGUGUGUGAAGAAGGCCUUCGGGUUGUAAAGCACUUUCAGCGGGGAGGAAGGCGGUGAGGUUAAUAACCUCAUCGAUUGACGUUACCCGCAGAAGAAGCACCGGCUAACUCCGUGCCAGCAGCCGCGGUAAUACGGAGGGUGCAAGCGUUAAUCGGAAUUACUGGGCGUAAAGCGCACGCAGGCGGUCUGUCAAGUCGGAUGUGAAAUCCCCGGGCUCAACCUGGGAACUGCAUUCGAAACUGGCAGGCUAGAGUCUUGUAGAGGGGGGUAGAAUUCCAGGUGUAGCGGUGAAAUGCGUAGAGAUCUGGAGGAAUACCGGUGGCGAAGGCGGCCCCCUGGACAAAGACUGACGCUCAGGUGCGAAAGCGUGGGGAGCAAACAGGAUUAGAUACCCUGGUAGUCCACGCUGUAAACGAUGUCGAUUUGGAGGUUGUGCCCUUGAGGCGUGGCUUCCGGAGCUAACGCGUUAAAUCGACCGCCUGGGGAGUACGGCCGCAAGGUUAAAACUCAAAUGAAUUGACGGGGGCCCGCACAAGCGGUGGAGCAUGUGGUUUAAUUCGAUGCAACGCGAAGAACCUUACCUGGUCUUGACAUCCACAGAACUUUCCAGAGAUGGAUUGGUGCCUUCGGGAACUGUGAGACAGGUGCUGCAUGGCUGUCGUCAGCUCGUGUUGUGAAAUGUUGGGUUAAGUCCCGCAACGAGCGCAACCCUUAUCCUUUGUUGCCAGCGGUUAGGCCGGGAACUCAAAGGAGACUGCCAGUGAUAAACUGGAGGAAGGUGGGGAUGACGUCAAGUCAUCAUGGCCCUUACGACCAGGGCUACACACGUGCUACAAUGGCAUAUACAAAGAGAAGCGACCUCGCGAGAGCAAGCGGACCUCAUAAAGUAUGUCGUAGUCCGGAUUGGAGUCUGCAACUCGACUCCAUGAAGUCGGAAUCGCUAGUAAUCGUAGAUCAGAAUGCUACGGUGAAUACGUUCCCGGGCCUUGUACACACCGCCCGUCACACCAUGGGAGUGGGUUGCAAAAGAAGUAGGUAGCUUAACCUUCGGGAGGGCGCUUACCACUUUGUGAUUCAUGACUGGGGUGAAGUCG
rnacentral:rRNA from 1 species